GAAGUAGAUGCUGUACCACCUAACAGCUUGCUGCACCAAAUUUGCACUGAGAUGUCCACUGAAGGCCACAGCGAGGAGCUCCGUCUGCCAGCCUUGGUCUCUGCUUUGAUUCUGCUCCCACACUGGCCAUAGCAACACUCCAGUCUCCUGCCAUAGCGACACACACCUGGUUGGCUUCCAGUAAGGACUUGUCGGUAGUGCCUUUGUAGAAGAAGAGAGGAGUGGAAGGUAAGAUCUGUAAUUUCACUGCCUUAGCAGUAUUUAUAG